rnacentral:rRNA from 1 species
UCCCAUACCGAACACGGAAGUUAAGCUCUUCAGCGCCGAUGGUAGUCGGGGGUUUCCCCCUGUGAGAGUAGGACGCCGCCAAGC